AUGUGAGGGAGAUCAGGCUGUGACAUCUGUCACCCCACUGAUCACCAGGGUUGAUUUGGCUGAUCUGGCUGGCUAGGCGGGUGUCCCCUUCCUCCCUCACUGCUCCAUGUACGUCCUUCCUGAAGCUGCGCACUCGGUGGAUGAGGACAACCAUCCCAGAUAGGAGUGUACUGUUCUUCAGUCAAGGGUAUACAAUAGAUGCACUCCCCUGAAAGAACUUCCAAACAAGCAGAUGAACUAAAAAUUAUAGACAAAGUUCUAACAUUUAUCUUUUCAAAAGUCAAGUUACUAUACAGUGGUACCUUGGGUU